UCGAGUAUUGAACAUCAUUGU
rnacentral:piRNA from 1 species